rnacentral:rRNA from 1 species
UACGUAGGGUGCGAGCGUUGUCCGGAAUUAUUGGGCGUAAAGGGCUCGUAGGCGGUCUGUCGCGUCGGGAGUGAAAACUCAGGGCUUAACCCUGAGCCUGCUUCCGAUACGGGCAGACUAGAGGUAUGCAGGGGAGAACGGAAUUCCUGGUGUAGCGGCGGAAUGCGCAGAUAUCAGGAGGAACACCGGUGGCGAAGGCGGGUCUCUGGGCCGAUAUUGACGCUGAGGAGCGAAAGCGUGGGGAGCGAACAGG